GUCACUUGCGCUCUUCCCUGCCUUCUCAUCCCCAGUCUGCAUUAUGUGGACCAGAUUUUGGGUGGCACAGGCCCCCAUGGGUCACUUGCGCUCUUCCCUGCCUUCUCAUCCCCAGUCUGCAUGCGGUCGACCAGAUUUUGGGUGGCACAGGCCCCCAUGCAUCACUUGCGCUCUCCCCUGCUUUCUCAUCCCCAGUCUGCAUCCUGUGGACCAGAUUUUGUGUGGCACAGGUAGCCAAAAAGCAUCCUGGACCUGAGCCCCUGUGAAGUACAGAUGAAUAUUAGCUUACAGUUUGGAUGCCAUAGUUAUUCCUAGAAAAAAUUGGGCUACUCAUUAACGCGUUUAUGAACAGGCAAAUUCAUAUUUGGAUGUUAUAAUGUUAAUUAUAAAUUCUCAGUUGAUUAACUCAUCAAUUGAUCUAAAAAGAAACAAACAAACAAAAACAGGUCAAUAUUAAAAGCAUAACA